AUGGGGCACCUGUCACCUUGUCCUUCCAGAAUGUGGACAGUCAGUAGAGAAUUGUAUGCGUGUCCUACCUGGGUCAGUUCACCUCAGAGGCAGGGAUUGAACUGCAGUCAGAUGCACAUCCACAACCCCUUCUGCUGGAGAAUGACAUGUCAUCCCUACAUGCCAGUGUGGAGCUCCCCUGUCUCCCCUCCCUCCCCAGGGCCCGAGGGUGCCCCUGCCCCCUGUCUGCUACUGGAGGAGGACCAGGAACCACUGGAGUCUCAUACACAGAUUGAGCCAAAGAAACGUAAAGGUGGCUGGCCAAAGGGAAAGAAGAGGCAACCUCCGAGAGAGUUAACUGUCCCCAGAGUUCCAACAACAGGCUUUGUGUGUGUUUCUGCUCAGAGGAGUUUGAGAAGGACAGAGGCAGCCGGCAGCAGGCUCCAGGGAUGGAGAGAAGCCCUGUGGGUGAGGAAGAGGAGGCAGAGUUGGCUCGUACGUUGGGUCUGUCCUCGCUGGACAUCAGUGUGCUGCAGGAGCUGCUGCUCAGACACAUACUGA
rnacentral:lncRNA from 1 species